rnacentral:rRNA from 1 species
CACACUAUCGUUAACUGAAUACAUAGGUUAACGAGGCGAACCGGGGGAACUGAAACAUCUAAGUACCCCGAGGAAAAGAAAUCAACCGAGAUUCCCCCAGUAGCGGCGAGCGAACGGGGAGCAGCCCAGAGUCUGAAUCAGCUUGUGUGUUAGUGGAAGCGUCUGGAAAGUCGCACGGUACAGGGUGACAGUCCCGUACACGAAAGCACACAGGUUGUGAACUCGAAGAGUAGGGCGGGACACGUGGUAUCCUGUCUGAAUAUGGGGGGACCAUCCUCCAAGGCUAAAUACUCCUGACUGACCGAUAGUGAACCAGUACCGUGAGGGAAAGGCGAAAAGAACCCCGGCGAGGGGAGUGAAAAAGAACCUGAAACCGUGUACGUACAAGCAGUGGGAGCACCUUCGUGGUGUGACUGCGUACCUUUUGUAUAAUGGGUCAGCGACUUAUAUUCUGUAGCAAGGUUAACCGUAUAGGGGAGCCGAAGGGAAACCGAGUCUUAACUGGGCGUUAAGUUGCAGGGUAUAGACCCGAAACCCGGUGAUCUAGCCAUGGGCAGGUUGAAGGUUGGGUAACACUAACUGGAGGACCGAACCGACUAAUGUUGAAAAAUUAGCGGAUGACUUGUGGCUGGGGGUGAAAGGCCAAUCAAACCGGGAGAUAGCUGGUUCUCCCCGAAAGCUAUUUAGGUAGCGCCUCGUGAACUCAUCUUCGGGGGUAGAGCACUGUUUCGGCUAGGGGGCCAUCCCGGCUUACCAACCCGAUGCAAACUACGAAUACCGAAGAAUGUUAUCACGGGAGACACACGGCGGGUGCUAACGUCCGUCGUGAAGAGGGAAACAACCCAGACCGCCAGCUAAGGUCCCAAAGUCAUGGUUAAGUGGGAAACGAUGUGGGAAGGCACAGACAGCCAGGAUGUUGGCUUAGAAGCAGCCAUCAUUUAAAGAAAGCGUAAUAGCUCACUGGUCGAGUCGGCCUGCGCGGAAGAUGUAACGGGGCUAAACCAUGCACCGAAGCUGCGGCAGCGACGC